rnacentral:lncRNA from 1 species
UCGCGCCAUUGCACUCCAGCCUGGCAACAAGAGCGAGACUCUGUCUCAAAAAAAAAAGAAAAAAGAAUGAGCAGCUGCCUGGCGGGCACAGAGGUGAGCCCCCUGCAUCCUGGCCAGGACUCUUCUGCCAGACCAUCACUCCAUGCUGAUAGGAGACCUGGGACCCAUGUGGAGCAGCUGGAAAUGAUAUGGACUGCCACGUAAUGUGACCCUAAAAUAGCUCAAGGAAGUUAUAUGUGGCCAGUCUGCUGUGGUGACACCAUCCUGUGCUCCAGGCCUUUCGGGAACCCACCCCUCUGUUGCUGUCCCUGCUUCCUUCUCGAGCUGCUCCUAGCAGGCAUCCAGGACUUCAGCGUUAAAGAACAGAGGGUUUCAGAGAAAACAUUUGGCUUUGGGGAAGAGAGCUCCAUUCCAGGAACUGCACAUCAGGUGCACUGUCUAGCAUUGUGGAUCUUCUGACUGGUUCCAUUGCAUGCAUCCAUCUGACUGAAGUGUGGAUUAUAGCAAAAGAUCAUUUGCACAUAAAGCUUUUUGGAAAGCAUAAGUAACCAGGUUAAUAAAUACAGUAACAAUGAGAGAGAAGACAGCAGGCCCUCAGUCAUGGCUCCACCAUUUUAUAGCUCUAGAGCCUUGGGCGAGGCAUGGAAUGUCAUGGCCGCAGCGUCCCCUUCUUUAGGAUGAGGGGUUUGGACCUCCGAGUGCUCUCUAGGGCCCCGUCUCCCUCUAACAACUCCAUUUCACUGUCCAGAAAUCUGGUUUUCAGGAUGGUGGCCCCGGGACAUCUCUGACAUCCGCCAGCUGGUGGCCUAACUGCUUCCCACAGGCUCUGUGUCUCAUCUCCACUGCCUGCCCCUGCAUUCGCCUGUCCGUCCUUCCCUCCCUGCCCCUGCGCUGGCUGCCCGCUGCUCCUCGACGUUCUGUUUCCCUGGCCGUUCUUGUGGCCUGUUUCUCACCAUAUUGUUCCCAGAAUCUGGAAUUCAACCCUGAACUCAUCCUAAAGUCAUAUCCAUGUCUGCCAGGUCUUUCUUCCAAAGUCAAUUCCAGUAGAAGCUCUGGUUGUCUUCUUCAGCCAGGUCCCUCCUGCCAUCCCCUUUCUUGUGUCAUGGUGCCACUUUCUGCCCGCUGCCCAGGACCAAGUGUCCGUGUCGAACCUGGUCUCACAGAGUCAGCCCCCGCUCCUGCUCAUAGCCUUGCAUUACGGAGGCUGCAGACCGCUGCUUCUGCUGAUUCAAUGUCAGAGCAAAUCCCUGCAGCGACCUCCUCCCUGGCCUCCUUAACCCUGUGUGCUAACCUACCCUUCUGUCUUGGAAGGGCACUUCCAUCACAGUCCACUCUUAGAUAAAGGCCCAGCCCCUUCGCCGUACCUUUCUCCCACUCAGCCCUGGGCAUGACCCACAGGACCCACCCGCCAACCUCUGUGUGUGACCCUUGGAACCCACCCGCCAGCCUCCAGGCGUGACCCUCAGAACCCACCCGCCAAUCUCUGUGUAUGACCCACAGAACCCACCUGCCAGCCUCUGUGUGUGACCCGCAGAACCCACCUGCCAGCUUCUGGGCAUGAUCCUCGGAACCCACCUGCCAACCUCUGCACGUGACCCACAGAACCUACCCGCCAGCCUCCGUGCGUGAUUCCAAACCCACCUGUCCCUUGCUGGCCUUGCACGCGUUGCCCCUUGUGGAAGCUGUUCUUGCACCUCCCAGAGACCCUGAGCCUGCCCGUCCUUUGGGCACAGCUGCAGACCUGCCCCUCUGUGGGGAUUGCCUGGCCUGGGGUCACGGGGAUUUUCCUGUGGGUCUUUCUGCUGAUGUCACCUCAUUUGCUCCUUUGACGCUUGGCAUUGCCAUUACUGCUCUGUGAUUUCUGUCUGUGCCUUGGCAGUGAGGGCUGACUUCCGGGUUUGGGGCCAGUUGACCAGACUGUGCAGGAAGUUAGGAAAAGGCUUUGAUUCAGUGGCAUGUUUCCCAUUGUGUGCAGAUAGUGGACACUCAAUAGAGCCUCGCUGAGUGAAUUAGUGAAGUUGUCGCACUUUCGCCUUGGCACCCAACGUUACUGCCUUGCUGCCUCACUGAUUAAUUGAAGGCUAUUUUAGCCAAGUAACCUUUAGCCAGACUCAGUCUCUCUCCCCAUGUCCACAGCUGGCCUUCAAGUCUGUUUUUUUUGGGAAGCCCAGUGACAUUGAAGUGGCUGGCACAGUAGGACCCAGGCAGUAGGUUUUACUGAGGGAACGGACAUCCUGUUGCCUUUCUCACUCAGUGAUGACUUGGAUUACCAGCCAGUUGACAACCAACCAUCUUUGUACCCUUCUAACCUCUAUCUCAGCCUUUUGGACCAUUUCUCUUUCCACCUGUUCUCUAUGGAAUGUAGCUCAAACAAAAAUGUUCUGAAGGGAACUUAGUCAUCCCUCUAAACUUGUGAUAGAUAGAGAUUCAUGGACCCACCCUUAUAAAACUGCUUUCUUCUCGGAAGUCUUGCUGCUCUUAUCUGUUCCCCAGUUUGUGGUUUGUCAUCUGAAAAAAAUACAUAGGGCUGUGGGGCUGUGAUUCGGAGCUGUGAUUCAUCAAUAAGACCCACAGGAUUGUCAGCGUUCUUCAGUUAUGUGUUUGUGCCUUCCUCAUGAGCCAGGGAAAGGCUGGGGUUACCACCGGGGCACGGCUUCUGAGGAGGGUGAGAGAAGGAGGCUGUUAUCUUCCUAUGGCAAGUCUGCCAUGUGGACCCAUUCUGUGGAAAUGUACUGUGUCAUUUAUCUUAGUUUUUGUGUUUUUCCUGCAUACACUGCACUGUGUCGUUUAUUUUAGUUUUUGCAUUUUUCUAGAGGCAGGGUCUUGCUCUGUUGUCCGGGCUAGAGUGCAGUGGCACGAUCAUGUUUCACCGCAGCCUUGAAUUCCUGGGCUCAAGUGAUCCUCUCACCUCAGUCUCCCACGUAGCUGGGAUGAAGGCAUGCGCCACCAUGCCUGGCUAAUUAAAAUUUUUUUUUUUGUAGAGACAGGGUCUUGCUAUAUUGCCCAGGCUGGUCUCAAACUCUUGGCCUCAAGGGAUCCUCCUCCCUCGGCCUCCGAAAGUGCUGGGAUUACAGGUGUGAGCCACCAUGCCUGGCCUCACUGUGUAGUUGUGAAUAGCUUAAUAGUUUGCAAUGUGGUGCUUCUCACAGCUCUUCUCUGUAAUGGGAACAUGAAAAAUUACCUGGUACAGUUUUAUGCUUUGUGGUGUGGCUUUUAAUUUUUAUAAACAUGUCUUACUGCUAUUGCCAGGGAUUUAGAUUUUUAAUAAACUUCCAGAUUCAACAGUAUUUUUCUUCA